UACGGAGGGUGCGAGCGUUGUCCGGAAUCACUGGGCGUAAAGGGCGCGUAGGCGGCGCGGGAAGUCAUCGGUGAAAGUUCAGGGCUCAACUCUGAAUCGGCCGGUGAUACUCUCGUGCUUGAGCACUGUAGAGGCAGGUGGAAUUCCUGGUGUAGCGGUGGAAUGCGCAGAUAUCAGGAGGAACACCAAUAGCGAAGGCAGCUCGCUGGGACGUUACUGACACUGAGGCGCGAAAGCGUGGGGAGCGAACAGG
rnacentral:rRNA from 1 species